rnacentral:rRNA from 1 species
GGGGGUACUGGAAUUCAAUGUGUAGUGGUGGAAUACGUAGAUAUAUUGAAGAACACCAGAGGCUAAGGCGAGUGCCUGGAACAUAAUUGACGCUGAGGCUUGAAAGCGUGGGUAGCAAAUGGGAUUAGAUACCCCAGUAGUCCACGCCGUAAACGAUGGGUAUUAGUCAUUUGGAUUUAAGACUGAGUGAUGUAGCUAAC